rnacentral:rRNA from 1 species
UCGGGAAUUUUGGGCAAUGGGGGAAACCCUGACCCAGCAACGCCGCGUGAAGGAUGAAGUAUUUCGGUAUGUAAACUUCGAAAGAAUAGGAAGAAUAAAUGACGGUACUAUUUAUAAGGUCCGGCUAACUACGUGCCAGCAGCCGCGGUAAUACGUAGGGACCAAGCGUUGUUCGGAUUUACUGGGCGUAAAGGGCGCGUAGGCGGCAUGACAAGUCACUUGCGAAAUCUCUGGGCUUAACCCAGAACGGCCAAGUGAUACUGUCGCGCUAGAGUGCAGAAGGGGCAAUCGGAAUUCUUGGUGUAGCGGUGAAAUGCGUAGAUAUCAAGAGGAACACCUGAGGUGAAGACGGGUUGCUGGGCUGACACUGACGCUGGGGCGCGAAAGCCAGGGGAGCAAACGGGAUUAGAUACCCGCGUAGUCCCUGAGCGGGCUGGCAAGGCGCAU